rnacentral:rRNA from 1 species
UAAUACGUAGGUGGCAAGCGUUGUCCGGAUUUACUGGGCGUAAAGGGCGCGUAGGCGGCCUCCGCAAGUCGACUGUGAAAUCUCCGGGCUUAACUCGGAAAGGUCAGCCGAUACUGCGGGGCUAGAGUGCAGAAGGGGCAACUGGAAUUCUCGGUGUAGCGGUGAAAUGCGUAGAUAUCGAGAGGAACACCUGCGGCGAAGGCGGGUUGCUGGGCUGACACUGACGCUGAGGCGCGAAAGCUAGGGGAGCAAACGGGA